rnacentral:tRNA from 1 species
UGUGGUUUGGCUCAAUGGCAGAGCACAUACUUAGUGUGUAUACAGUCCUGGGUUCAAUCCCCAGCUCCAUCA